ensembl:lncRNA
CCUUCAGCCCCUGUGAGGUGAGGGGGUCCUGCUUUCAGUCCAGUUGGCCCACUGAGGGCUGGGGGGAGGGUGCAGCCGCUGUGUCCCCCGUGCCCCUCCCCUCCCUGAAGGUGGCUGUCUGGAACCAUGGAGGAUGUUCCAUAUCAAGAGCUUGGGGCUGACUGGAGUCAUGAGAGCUGGUGGAGGGAGAGGACAGUGGGGGCAGACUGGAUGGUCCUGAGGCCUCGGCCCUUCAGGGGCCAGACCAGCCCCAGCAGCCUCUUGGUCACGCCUUGGGGAAGCUGAGAGCUGCCUGCUGCCCAGAAGGCUUGCUGCCUCAGCCGCACACCCCGGAUGCUCUGGAAUGUUCCCUGGCCCUGCUCAUUGGCCCUCAGAGCCUCUCCUCUGCUGCCCCUCCCAUGUCCCCUCCCCUCUGCCUCCUGGACGGGGCGCCUGGGCCCUGCAGAGUCUGUCCCUCCUGGCGACUUUCUCUCACUCAUCUCUUCCCCGUGCUCUUUUGCUAAAUUCUCCAGCUCUUCACUCUCCAUGAGGACCCUUCCGGAAAGCAGUGAGGAGAGGACAGGAAGGACUACAGCCUCCCACCACUGCCAGGCCAGUGAGAGGGAAGGAGCCCAAACCAGCAGCCACACCCACGGGAAGAUUUUCCCAGCUGGCCAUGACUGCAGCAUAGACACAAGUCCUUUUGUCUGCUGUCCCUCGGCCCCCCCGAGAGGUGGUGUGUGGAGAGGAUUUAGAAGAACACCCCACCCCUGACCCCCACUGACUGCAGCAGACAAAGGAGGUUCUCUUGUGCCUGGUGGGGGGUUGGGGGUUCCGGCCCAAGGAGGUGGGGGGUGGGGGGGUCCGGCCCGAGGAGGUGGGGUGGGGGCUCGCGCGGAGGGGCACUCAUGACCUCCUUAGCCCCUGGUUGCCCUGCACAUCUGCCUGCACAGCUGCAUGUCUCUCCGGGGCGCUCCCCACUCGUGGCUGGUGCGUCCGUGGACCCUGGGGGGGCUCUGGCAGCCCUGGGGCUAGUGACGCCUCCCAGAGACAAGUCAGGGCCAGGAGCCGCACAGUUCAGUUCGGGGCCAACACACUGCGUCUGCUGGGCUUGAGCCAGGACAUGGAGAAGGAGGUAGUCAGAUUGACUCCAGGGCCCCGAAGGCGGACUUGGGCGCAAAGGCCAACUCUGAGGAGCAGGAACCAAGCACGGGAUAAACCGUCCCUUCUUCAGCCUGGACCCAGGCUCGGGUCUGGCGCGGACCUCGUCUCUGAACUUGUCGUGAGUCACCGAGAAGGAAUUCACAGCCCGUGGAAACCAGCCUGAGACAACCCCGUGCCGUGGAGUGCUGAAGCCUGGGCUCUUGGGGUGGGGGACCCCCAGGAAAAUGGGAGCCCGUACCCACCCUGCCGGUGUGUGCGGGGUCAAGUGAGGGAACGCCUGUGAAACCACCAAGCAUCAGUCCUGGCCCCAAAAAGGUGCGUGAUGGACGUUAGAGUUCCUCUGUUCGUCUGUCCGUCCCCACGUUCUGAGAGAAAGAUCCAAACUGACACGAGUGCACACAGCACGAGUGGCACCUGGGGGUGGGUGGCCUUCAGCUCAGAAUUGCUCGUCAUGGAGACCUGUGUGCCCUGCCCCUGUCCGGCCUGGAGCCUCAGCUCCCCCUGCAAACACCUGGGGCUGUUUCUCUGUCUCUCCUGUCGUGUUUCAAGUCGCCCCUGGUAACUUUUCUUUCCAGACCCCUUUGUCCUCAGACAGGUUCUCUCUUCCCUAACGCCAGCUUCUGUAGCUGGUGUCCUAUUUAUCAAACUUACCCUUUUUACAUGCCUAAAUCCAUUUUUAUUUUUUUUAAGUUUACUUUUUAGUAAUCUUUACACCCAGUGUGGGGCUCGAACCCAUGACCCUAAGAUCAAGCGUCACACCCUCCUCCGAGCCUGCCAGGCACCCCUGCCUAAAUGCAUUUUUUUAAGUUUUUUCUUUAAAAGAUUUUAUUUAUUUAUUUGAGAGAGAGCAUGAGGGCACAAACGGGUAGGGGCAGAGGGAGAGGGAGAAGCAGGCUCCAUGCUGAGCAAGGAGCCCGAUGCAGGCCUCGAUCCCAGGACCCUGGGAUUAUGACCUGAGCCANCAUGACCCUAAGAUCAAGCAUCACACCCUCCUCCGAGCCUGCCAGGCACCCCUGCCUAAAUGCAUUUUUUUAAGU